rnacentral:lncRNA from 11 species
UCGCACUUCCUCAGACUGCUUCUCAGCGGUUUGGGCCCGAUCUGCGGCGAGGACUGGCGACGCACUCCGAGAGGCUUUUUCUGAAAUCGCACCUAUUAUGUCAUCAUAACGAGCGUACUUAAUCAGCAAUAUUCGCCAUCUUAAAAGAUAAGUUCCUGGCACUUAUCGAACUUCUCGCAGUACUUCAACUUGUUACAUAGGUAACGAAAUUGCUGUAUUUUAAACAGAUAGACAAGCAGGCAACAUUAUCGCAAGACCCCCCAUUCAACCGUCGGCGCAGACGGUAACACACAGCGAAAUAGCGUCGAGAAUGGACAGAGCGUCAGGAUCCAUUUGAUAACAGAAGUCGAGUGCGCGAAGUGGCUUUUCAGCGUCGACCAGCUCCAGGAUGUCAAGGGGGUCAACGAUAUAUUGUGAGAGGGACUGUAGAAGCUGCAUGAAAUGUCCAUAGUAAAAAAAGGAUUGCAAUUGCAACAACGAACAUAGGAAGAUGCCUAGUGCUUUCGAUUCAUGAAUGGUAUCGAGGCUUGGAUACGUCUGUACCUGGAAAAAUGCUUUGGGCUGAACCUUGGACGCAUCUCCGUACUGGCUG